GUGGGGAAUCUUCCGCAAUGGACGAAAGUCUGACGGAGCGACGCCGCGUGAGUGAAGAAGGCCUUCGGGUCGUAAAGCUCUGUCAUCAGGGACGAAUGGCCGGUGGAGUGGAAAGCCACCGGAUUGACGGUACCUGAGAAGGAAGCCACGGCUAACUACGUGCCAGCAGCCGCGGUAAUACGUAGGUGGCAAGCGUUGUCCGGAAUUAUUGGGCGUAAAUCGCGCGCAGGUGGGAUCUUAAGUCCAUUUUUAAAGUUCGGAGCUCAACUCCGUGAUGGGAUGGAAACUGGGAUUCUUGAGUACCGGAGAGGAAAGCGGAAUUCCCCGUGUAGCGGUGAAAUGCGUAGAUAUGGGGAGGAACACCAGUGGCGAAGGCGGCUUUCUGGACGGUGUCUGACACUGAGGCGCGAAAGCCAGGGGAGCGAACGGGAUUAGAUACCCUAGUAGUCC
rnacentral:rRNA from 1 species